UAACAAUAUAUCUCCAUCCGUGUACGCUGUUGUCCACAAGAUGAGAAAAUCAAAAUGAUCAAACUGGAAGACUGUGGAACAUGUUAAUAAAUGUUUGUGUGUUUAUGUCUGUGUCUUUCAGUGGAGGCGGGAGCCACCGAAAGGCUUCCCUACCAGUUUCUGUUGAAUCAAAGCAGAACCAUAAAUGGCCGACGGAGGAAGGGUGGAUAGGGGAAAUGAGAUGGAGAUGGGGUGAAGAAAGGAGGGCAGUGGAAGCUACUGUUCUGUAGCCUAAGCUGAACCCCCAGCAGCCUCAUCCGCACUCUUGUCAGGAGAAUGUUUCCUGUUUGUUGUCGUCGAGGACCAGCAGCAUUUUUCUUCUUCAGCUGUUUUUGUUCCAUUUUUUCUUCUUUUUCUUUUCGGCCUUAUCCUCACCUGACUUUGACCUGAAGAGCCAGAAACAUUUUUACUUCUUCUUCUGUUGCUCGACGAGGUCUGUGUUUUUCUCCUCCAAUUUUUCCACUUCUUAAGCAAGUGUUACAUUCUCAUCUUGUAUUUUGUUACACUUUUGCUGGAGUUUGUCGAACUCUUCCACUGAUGCUUGGAGAUUUUCUUUAAGGUCGUUGCCUGUCUGAAUUUGCUCUUUGUGCUCCAACUGCAAGUUUUUGGUCUGCAGUUCUUUAUUCUUUGUCAUCAACGCUGCAUUAUUUUGCAGCUGCUCUAGCUUGUCAUUUUGAAUGUCUCCGUUUUGCUUCACCUGUUCCUCGUACAUGUGCACCAGUUCUUUGUGUUUUUGCUCAGAUUGGGCUUUUUUCCUGGAGCGCUUCGGACUUUCUGCUCUCCACUUCUUUCUGGUCCUUUUCCAGUUGUACAUACUUUUCCUCCCAUUCCAUAUUUUCUUUGACUAUUUCAUCAUUUCUGGCCUCCAGUUGUUUGAGCUUUUUUUGCCAGUUCUUCGUAACCUUGCACUUGUUUUGUUUUCGCCUGUUGCAUUUCUGCGUUUAGGGUUAGAAUUCUGACUCCCCCAGAAAUCUGGAAAAGAAAAGCCCACUUUUCCCCCCGGUGGCCCUAAUCCUCUUCCGUAGACUUACGACUGUUUUACGACAGUUGACUGGGGAGUAAACUCUGGCGGGAGGGGCUUUGAGCUCACGUGGCCUGUAGCUGUCGGAGAGCAAGCUUGUAUGAGCUAGCAGUGAUAUCGCAGUAGCCUUAAAUCAGAAUCGUGUUUAUUGGCCAAGUAUAUGUGCAGACACAUACAACGAAUUUGGUUCUGGUAGAUGGUGGC
ensembl:lncRNA